rnacentral:lncRNA from 1 species
GCAGUGAAACCCAUCUGAUUAAGAUGCUCAACUUUUCUGAAGAAAAAGCUGACACCUGCCUAAGGUCACACCAUCAUGAGUGGCUGAGUUGGGCUGUGAUGAGCCACCCGGCUGGAGAGCUUGUGCCCUGGUUACACGAUUGCCAGUGAGAUGCCUAUGAACUCGCAUGUAGAGAGUGAGUGCAGCAGUGACAGCUUGGUGGGCUCCAGCUGACCCCUCCAGAGCCCCUGAGUGGUGGCGGUCUGCAGUCCUCAGUCAGCAGCAGCAGACGUCACCCGUCAUACAGGGCCAUUCACUGAAGUGUCACCUGGUGCGCUUGGCUGGCCAGUCCUAAGGAGCAACAGACAGGCAUCGGAGGCACUUGCAGCAGAAAUAUGAAAAACAAAACCUACUUAGCUGAGCUCCCCAAGGGCAGGGACAACUUAUUUUAACAUUGUUUUGAACUUAGUAAGUUUUUAAUAAAAUGAUUGAUUGAUUGAUAUGUAAACGAAUGGAGCAAAAGCUCUAGA